rnacentral:rRNA from 1 species
CACGGCGCACGGGUGCGUAACACGUGGGCAAUCUGCCCUUCGAUGGGGAAUAACUCCGGGAAACCGAAGCUAAUUCCGCAUAACAUUCCUUGGACUCCGGUUCGUGGAUUCAAAGCCGCAAGGCGUCGAAGGAGGAGCCCGCGCCCGAUUAGCUAGUUGGCGAGGUAAUGGCUCACCAAGGCAAUGAUCGGUAGCUGGUCUGAGAGGAUGGCCAGCCACACUGGAACUGAGACACGGUCCAGACUCCUACGGGAGGCAGCAGUGGGGAAUCUUGCACAAUGGGCGAAAGCCUGAUGCAGCGACGCCGCGUGGGGGAUGAAGCAUUUCGGUGUGUAAACCCCUUUCGACCGGGAAGAAUGCCUCGCAAGAGGAGUGACGGUACCGGUAUAAGAAGCCCCGGCUA